AUUGAACGCUGGCGGCAUGCUUUACACAUGCAAGUCGAACGGCAGCGCGGGCUUCGGCCUGGCGGCGAGUGGCGAACGGGUGAGUAAUGCAUCGGAACGUGCCCAGUCGUGGGGGAUAGCCCGGCGAAAGCCGGAUUAAUACCGCAUACGACCUGAGGGUGAAAGCGGGGGACCGAAAGGCCUCGCGCUAUUGGCGCGGCCGAUGUCGGAUUAGCUAGUUGGUGGGGUAAAGGCUUACCAAGGCGACGAUCCGUAGCUGGUCUGAGAGGACGACCAGCCACACUGGGACUGAGACACGGCCCAGACUCCUACGGGAGGCAGCAGUGGGGAAUUUUGGACAAUGGGGGCAACCCUGAUCCAGCCAUGCCGCGUGCGGGAAGAAGGCCUUCGGGUUGUAAAACGCUUUUGUUCGGGAAGAAAUCCUCUGGGCUAAUACCCCGGGGGGAUGACGGUACCGGAAGAAUAAGCACCGGCUAACUACGUG
rnacentral:rRNA from 1 species